UGGGGAAUUGUUCGCAAUGGGCGCAAGCCUGACGCCGCAACGCCGCGUGGAGGAUGAAGAUCUUCGGAUCGUAAACUCCUGUCGAGCGGGACGAACGGCCCGGGGCCUAACAGGCUCCGGGAGUGACGGUACCGCUAAAGGAAGCCCCGGCUAACUCAGUGCCAGCAGCCGCGGUAAUACGGGGGGGGCCAGCGUUGUUCGGAAUUACUGGGCGUAAAGGGCGCGUAGGCGGCCUUCUAAGUCAGACGUGAAAUCCCCCGGCUCAACCUGGGAACUGCGUCUGUGACUGGGUGGCUUGAGUCCGGGAGAGGGGGGUGGAAUUCCAGGUGUAGCGGUGAAAUGCGUAGAUAUCUGGAGGAACACCGGUGGCGAAGGCGGCAUCCUGGACCGGCAUUGACGCUGAGGCGCGAAAGCCAGGGGAGCAAACG
rnacentral:rRNA from 1 species